AACUUCUGUUCAGGUUCAUUUCGACUCGUCGAGUGAAACUGGACAUACGUUUGCAAACUAAAAUCGGCCUUCACUGGUUCGACUUAGGGAGUAAACAUUUUACUGUGAAAAAAUUAGAGUGUUCCAGGCAGGUUUUAGCCCGAAUACAUUAGCAUGGAAUAAUGGAAUAGGACUAAGUCCAUUUUAUUGGUUCUUGGAUUUGGUAAUGAUUAAUAGGGACAGUUGGGGGCAUUAGUAUUUAAUAGUCAGAGGUGAAAUUCUUGGAUUUAUUAAGGACUAACCAAUGCGAAAGCAUUUGCCAAAGAUGUUUUCAUUAAUCAAGAACGAAAGUUAGGGGAUCAAAGACGAUCAGAUACCGUCGUAGUCCUAACUAUAAACUAUACCGACUCGGGAUCGGCUGGAAUAAAUGUCCAGUCGGCACCGUAUGAGAAAUCAAAGUCUUUGGGUUCUGGGGGAAGUAUGGUACGCAAGUNGAA
rnacentral:rRNA from 1 species